GGGGAAUUUUCCUGCAAUGGGCGAAAGCCUGACGGAGCAAGACCGCGUGGGGGAUGAAGGUUUGUGGAUUGUAAACCCCUUUUGAUUGGGAAGAAUACUGACGGUACCAAUCGAAUAAGCCUCGGCUAACUCCGUGCNCGCAGCCGCGGUAAUACGGAGGAGGCAAGCGUUAUCCGGAAUUAUUGGGCGUAAAGCGUCCGUAGGUGGUUUAGUAAGUCUGCUGUUAAAGCGCGGGGCUUAACUCCGUAUCGGCAGUGGAAACUACUAUACUAGAGUGUGGUAGGGGUAGAGGGAAUUCCCAGUGUAGCGGUGAAAUGCGUNGAUAUUGGNAAUAACACCGCCUGGCCAANGCGCUCUANUGGGCCANAACUUGACACUGAUGGNCUANANCUNUGCNACCGAAUCNGGAUUNNAUACCCCUGGUAGC
rnacentral:rRNA from 1 species